CAGUCGCCGCGGGAAUACGUAUGUCACAAGCGUUAUCCGGAUUGAUUGGGCGUAAAGCGCGUCUAGGUGGUUAUGUAAGUCUGAUGUGAAAAUGCAGGGCUCAACUCUGUAUUGCGUUGGAAACUGUGUAACUAGAGUACUGGAGAGGUAAGCGGAACUACAAGUGUAGAGGUGAAAUUCGUAGAUAUUUGUAGGAAUGCCGAUGGGGUAGCCAGCUUACUGGACAGAUACUGACGCUAAAGCGCGAAAGCGUGGGUAGCAAACAGGAUUAGAUACCCGGGUAGUCCCUGUCUCUUAUACC
rnacentral:rRNA from 1 species